rnacentral:rRNA from 1 species
GACAGAGGGGGCAAGCGUUGCUCGGAAUUACUGGGUGUAAAGGGUUCGUAGGCGGUGUGGCAAGUCGGGAGUGAAAUCUCUGGGCUCAACUCAGAGACUGCUUCCGAAACUGCUGUGCUGGAGUGUGGGAGAGGCGCGUGGAAUUGCAGGUGUAGCGGUGAAAUGCGUAGAUAUCUGCAGGAACACCCGUGGCGAAAGCGGCGCGCUGGACCACUACUGACGCUGAGGAACGAAAGCUAGGGGAGCAAACAGG